CCAAAAUUUUAUCUCCUAGUUAAACAUAAGAUGUUCUUAUUGUUUCAGAACCCUGACAGCUCAUAAAGGAGAACACUCAAAUAGAGUGUUUUCCAGAAAAAUCAUGAAUGGACAGCACGAGAGGAAGAAUGCCUCGGCCAACCUCAGCAUCCAGCAAGGCAAAAAGAUGCUCAAGAGUUCCUGAUUUAGAGAUCAUCUCUGCUGCGUUGAAAAUAGGAGCAUAGUCCUAUGUGCAGUUCUUGAAGAAACUAAGGCUGGAGAAUUUAACAUCUUCCCACAGGAUAAUAAAUUAAAAACAAAACAAAGAAAGAAAGCAGCCCAAAUAUGAAAGCUUGAAGCUCAUUCUACAUCUUUUACUGCAACUUCUUUACAUUGUGCCAAAGUAUUAGCGGCUCUUUUGAUUCUUCUUGACAAAGCAAACAUGGCAUUUCAUCAAGUUGUCUUGGAAGAGAAAAAGUUGGAGAUUUGUGCUCUACCUCUUUAAUUCCUGCAUAUGACCAUCAGAAUAAGCCUGACAGUUGGAAAUGCACGAAAUGAAACAUUUAAACACAAACUCAGCACUGUUUAGGAUAGAGUACAAUGAAGGAGCACUGCUGGAAAGCUGAACAUUUAAAUAUGCCAUUAAUCCUUCUCAUGAAAUGCUGGCAGGAGAAUUGAAGGAACAAAUCUUUCAUGGUCCCAAAUUAUGAAUCCACAAAUCCAUAAAUCUAAUCAACCACAUGAAUAAAAGAGAAAUGGAGA